AGGAAAAGACAGAGAGGGAAGGGAAAUAAAUGGGACAUGAGGAAAAUUUAUGAUGUGAUCAUGAGAGGUAAAAUUUUAAAAUUAACGGUGAGAUAAAGUUCGAUCGAAAUAAAUUAUUAGUAUAAUAUUUAUGGAUGAUAGAUCAACAUAUUUAAUGGUGUCAAUUUGAGAUAAACAUAAGUAUACAAUAUACUUUCUAAAUGUUGGAAUACUUUUUUAAAAUAUUCGAUUUUAUUUCCUCUUGAGCAUGUGUAUCAUCUAUUGAAAUCUAUGAUAUUUUGUUGGAAUCAUGAUAUAUAUGAUUUUUUUGUUUGAUGACUAAAAUAUUAUAAUAUUGAUUGCUACAUUAAUUUAGUGGACCUGCCAAGAUCUUGGCCAAUAGUCCAGAAAAAGCCAAAGAGCUAAAUGAGGCAGGUGAGGCCAACCACCAGUGAUGUACCAAAAAAAAACGAGUAUGAGGUCUUUCAUAAUUUGAUGAUUCAUUGAGUACUUCUAAAUUUUUCGUUGAGCCAUUAUUGAAUUGAGUAUAUUCCCGUCGUAUUGUAUAUUUUUCUAUUUAAAAUAAUUUUUCAAGUGGACAUGGGAGUUGGGUAGUACGAGAUGAAUUGGGUGAAUGAAUUAAAAAUUUAAGAUUUUAGAUCAUUUUGUAUAAAUUAUUUUUGGAGACAUUAUAAUAUUAACAUUUGAAAACUAUUGAAUAUUUAAAAAAAAAUAGCACUCUGAUUUGUAUAUAAAAAAAUGAUGAUUAUUGAUUAAUUAAUGGCCAGGAGAAUCGGCGCGUUACAAAUGUACUUAAAAAAAAAAUUGUUAUUAAUAAAGAAAUUAAAAUUUUAAAUGGAAGUAUUUUACUUUUUAAGUAUUCAUAAUCUAAAUAUAAUUAAAAAAUAAUUUUUUAAUAUUUUUUUUAAAUAGAAAGAAUGCUUAUUUAUUUUAAUUAGUAUAUUGAGAAAAAAAAUUAAAAAAUCUAAAUUAUAAUCUUUUUAUUUUUGCACAAUAACUAACUAAAAGAGAAAAUUUUGAAGUCAAUAUUAUUUUUGAAACUACAUUAAAGAUAAUAUUUAUUAGAAACUGGAGGUUAGUAAAGUGUACCCUAACAGAUACUACUACAAUUGAUAAAUAAAGGCUUUUGUUAAGCACACUGGUUAAGAAUGCAUUUAAUGGGUUUAACUACUGCUACUAUUAUAGAGAUUAGUAAAGUUAUUUUGUCCUAGUUUGGAUUAUUGUGUUUUUUUUUAGUGAAUUUUUUUGUUGCUUGAUCAAAAUUUAUAUUUUUUCAGUUCUUCUUGAUGAGAGGAUUCCGAAAGUAUAAAAAAAUCAUCUAAUUUGAAUUUUUUUUUUACUAAAGAUUAAAAAAAUCAUUUACAAUUUUUUUUUCAUCUUUAGUAAAAAAAAAAUUAAAGUAUAGGAAUUUUUUUAUAUCCAGACGUCUCUAAACCAAAAAAAUAUAAAUUUUGAUCAAAUGGUUAGAAAUAAUUAAAAAAUACCAAAAAACUUGAAAACCAAAAACUAAAAAAAUCCAAAAGACUUAUAUCCCAAACUUAGCUUAAUAUAUGACUGAAAAUUUUGAACUCUAAAACUUCCAACUUGUCAUUAGACCAAAAUAACCUUUCAUGCAACUUCCUUCAUUUUACCUUUUCAUCCACCCUCCCUCCCAUCAUUUCUCUCAUUUUCUUUAAAUCGCAAGAGACUAAAAAACAGAUCCGAUCUUAAAAAGUGGUCAUGAUAUUUUAAAAAUAGAAUAGUUAUUUUUUUAAUUCGUAAUUUAUUUCCAUUAUAUUAAACCGUGAUGUUAUCUUUUUAAAUUACUUUUGAUGUGGGAUAAAAUAUUCACCUGUUAAUAUUCAAGUACGUCGCCUGAAAGGUUACCUAGCACAUCGCCAGACAUACAUCCUGUGAAAUCCCAUUUCCGCAUUAUAGCGGCAAGCGAUAUCUCCGAACCCUCUUAAUCGAGGUAAAACGAGUCCGAUAUCCUGCAUAGAACCUUGCCGAAUUAUCUCGACAACUUACCUCCAGUACUUUUGAACUCGCCCAUGGUAUUCGUCGGUUGGACAGGGCGAAGUGUUGUUUCGUCCUCUCCUUUGGGCGAGGUAGAAUGUUUGACCUGAUCAGUCUCCACCAGAAUCCUAUCUAUACAAGGAAACUACCCAUCGCGAGAUUUUCUCCUCCACGGCACCUAUAAUUACAGGAUACUCUCAAGAUGGCAAUCUCCCCAAUUAAGUCUCCUACAUCUCCGGGAUAUGCUUUCAUAUUUAGCCAUCCGAAUAUGAUCUCCUCACACGGCCCAUUACUCCGUCUAUAAAAAGGUCGCUCCCCCCAUCAUUAUGAGGUACGAUUUAAUAGUUCUACACCAUCUUUACUUUGAUUAUCUCCUUGUCACAUUGGCCUGAUUCGCACGCUGGAGGGGUUUUGAGUGGCCUCGCCUCGGCCAUUUACUUUUGUCCGUUUGGGCAGGUCGUCCGAGUAUUUGCCAAGAAGCAACUUUGACUGUUGGUUGUCCGCC
rnacentral:lncRNA from 1 species